CUCCUCCCGUGGAUUCAGUUGGUCAGUCGGUCCACGCCGGACCUCAGCUCUCCACUGGUGUCCUCUCUUGUUGAUCGAUGGAGGCCGAAGACACACAGUUUCCAUCUUUGGGCUGGGGGGAUGACCGUGAUGCUCGAGGAUAUCUCCUUGAUCACCGGUCUUCCUAUCAACGGGAGGCCUCUCUGUAUGAGCACCAAUUCUGACGGGUGGCGCCAGCAGAUGAAUGCUCUUAUCGGUAUGGCUCCCACCGAAAGGGAGAAGACAAGAAGAAGAAGAAGGAAAGGAAAGCAGCCGGAGCUGCUUUCACGUGGAUCCAAAGGAACUUUGCGAAUUGCCCUACAGAUGCCACUGAUGAUGUGA
rnacentral:rRNA from 1 species